rnacentral:misc_RNA from 1 species
GAUGAAGAACGUAGCGAAAUGCGAUAAGUAAUGUGAAUUGCAGAACUCAGUGAAUCAUCGAAUCUUUGAACGCAACUUGCGCCCUCUGGUAUUCCGGAGGGCAUGCCUGUUUGAGUGUCAUGUAGACUCAAUCCCUCGGGUUUCUGAGGAGGUUGGAUUUGGGUGCUUGCCUUCUGGCUCGCCUUAAAGGACUUAGCAGGAUAGCACUGUAGUCGACGUAAUAAGUCUCGUCGGUGAAAGUGUGAUGUCUGCUUACAGAUUGCCCUUGGGCACUUUUGACUCUGACCUCAAAUCAGGUAGGACUACCCGCUGAACUUAAGCAUAUCAAUAAGCGGAGGA